UCAGCCAUGAGGGCUGGGAGGCCGGGCAGAGUGUCCAAGUUCUGCAUCCCUUUCCGUGCCGGGGAGUCCGGCCUCCUGGGACGCAGCGUCCCCAGGCCAGGACAUGCUCUUUCUUCUCCUCUACGCCAUUCAAGGAAAACAGCUUUCUGUGGGCUAUUUCUGGUUCUAUGAAUAAUGCAUGCUUAUUGUAAAGAAUUCAAACAGUACAGGCGGAUAUAAAGGAGACAACAAAGGUCACCUUGAAUCUCGCCACACCGGGGUGACCCCCGAGAGCCUUCCGGUGACCAGGCCUCCGUGCCUCUCCCGUGUGCAGAUACGUUCACAUGAAUGGACGUAAUAAAAACAUGAUGGUUUUGUUCUGGACGCUUCCUCCUCCCCAUUUCCACAGCACAUCCCCCAUGAGGUGGCCCCUGAUAACCCCCUGGCUUACCUUCUCCCAUAUGUUUCUCCACAGACACACGUAAGUAUAUGCUACGUACCUACACACGUGCAUUCACACACAUACACGCACCCACAGGGGAGCUUGGGGGGUCAGUGUCUUACAAAAAGAAUCCCUCCUAAUCACAUUUAACUGCUUCUUACUUUUCAGGCGCGCCAACACCUGCUGAAAUCCGUGCUAGCUUCUUCAGGGAACUCGCCUCGUUCUUUUGAAAGGCUGAUGACAUCCCAUGAUGUGCGCCUUCUCCCUGCCCUUGCCGGCUAAGAACAAUGGGCAGGAAAUCUCCUGAUGCUGACAGAUUACCUUCCCAAGAUUCUGUGACACCUGACCCUUCUGCCUCAAUGCACACAGUUCCCACCAUCAACCGAUGCCAGGGCACGCUGUAAACGUUGCCAUCCUGAUGAGUGCGAAGUGAUCUGUCCUUGUGACUUUAGUUUGCAUUUCCCUGCCUACUGGGGAAUCGGGGAGAACUUGAAUAUAUGUUUGACUUUAGAGGUGC